rnacentral:tRNA from 1 species
UGGGAUAGCUCAGUUGGUAGACCAUGAGACUCUUAAUCUCAAGGUUGUGGGUUCGAGCUCCAUGUUAGCAA